GAUGAACGCUGGCGGCGUGCCUAAUACAUGCAAGUCGAGCGAACGGACGAGGAGCUUGCUUCUCUGAUGUUAGCGGCGGACGGGUGAGUAACACGUGGAUAACCUACCUAUAAGACUGGGAUAACUUCGGGAAACCGGAGCUAAUACCGGAUGAUAUUUUGAACCGCAUGGUUCAAAAGUGAAAGACGGUCUUGCUGUCACUUAUAGAUGGAUCCGCGCUGCAUUAGCUAGUUGGUAAGGUAACGGCUUACCAAGGCAACGAUGCAUAGCCGACCUGAGAGGGUGAUCGGCCACACUGGAACUGAGACACGGUCCAGACUCCUACGGGAGGCAGCAGUAGGGAAUCUUCCGCAAUGGGCGAAAGCCUGACGGAGCAACGCCGCGUGAGUGAUGAAGGUCUUCGGAUCGUAAAACUCUGUUGUUAGAGAAGAACAGCGCAUAGAGUAACUGCUAUGCGUGUGACGGUAUCUAACCAGAAAGCCACGGCUAACUACGUG
rnacentral:rRNA from 1 species